rnacentral:misc_RNA from 1 species
AACUUUUAGCAAUGGAUCACUUGGCUCUCGCAUCGAGGAAGAACGCAGCGAAAUGCGAUAAGUAAUGUGAAUUGCAGAAUUCAGUGAAUCAUCGAAUCUUUGAACGCACCUUGCGCUCCUUGGUAUUCCGAGGAGCAUGCCUGCUUGAGUGUCAUUAAUAUAUAAAUCAAUCUUCUCUUGAUGAGUGGUUUGGAUGUGGGGGUUUGCUGGCAGCCUCUUUGAGGAUUCAGCUCCCCUGAAAUGCAUUAGCAGAACAAACCCGUUCAUUGGUGUGAUAAACUAUCUACGCUAUUGAAUGUGAGGUGGCAGUUCAGCUUUCUAACGGUCUUUGGACAAAUUCAUCAUUAAUGUGACCUCAAAUCAGGUAGGACUACCCGCUGAACUUAAGCAUAUCAAUAAGCGGAGGCU